GCAUAUCAAUAAGCGGAGGAAAAGAAACCUAACAGGGAUUGCCCCAGUAACGGCGAGUGAAGCGGCAAGAGCUCAAAUUUGAAAGCUGGCUCCUUCGGGGUCCGCAUUGUAAUUUGUAGAGGAUGCUUCGGGAGCGGUCCCCAUCUAAGUGCCCUGGAACGGGACGUCAUAGAGGGUGAGAAUCCCGUAUGGGAUGGGGUGUCCGCGCCCGUGUGAAGCUCCUUCGACGAGUCGAGUUGUUUGGGAAUGCAGCUCUAAAUGGGUGGUAAAUUUCAUCUAAAGCUAAAUAUUGGCCGGAGACCGAUAGCGCACAAGUAGAGUGAUCGAAAGAUGAAAAGCACUUUGAAAAGAGAGUUAAAAAGCACGUGAAAUUGUUGAAAGGGAAGCGCUUGCGACCAGACUCGCUCGCGGGGUUCAGCCGGCAUUCGUGCCGGUGUAUUUCCCCGCGGGCGGGCCAGCGUCGGUUUGGGCGGUCGGUCAAAGGCCCUCGGAAGGUAACGCCCCUAGGGGCGUCUUAUAGCCGAGGGUGCAAUGCGACCUGCCUAGACCGAGGAACGCGCUUCGGCUCGGACGCUGGCAUAAUGGUCGUAAGCGACCCGUCUUGAAACACGGACCAAGGAGUCUAACAUCUACGCGAGUGUUCGGGUGUCAAACCCGUGCGCGAAGUGAAAGCGAACGGAGGUGGGAACCCUUACGGGUGCACCAUCGACCGAUCCUGAAGUCUUCGGAUGGAUUUGAGUAAGAGCGUAGCUGUUGGGACCCGAAAGAUGGUGAACGUAUGCCUGAAUAGGGCGAAGCCAGAGGAAACUCUGGUGGAGGCUCGUAGCGGUUCUGACGUGCAAAUCGAUCGUCGAAUUUGGGUAUAGGGGGCGAAAGACUAAUCGAACCAUCUGGUAGCUGGGUUCCUGCCGAA
rnacentral:rRNA from 1 species